ACUCAGGAAGGAAUAAUCUCAGCACCUACUUCAUGAGGUUUCUGUGAGGACAAAGCAUGAUGAUACAGAAACAAUCUGCCUGGUUCUUUCAUCUCUGCAAAGGAAGUUUCUUUCUGUUCACUACAUGACUAGCUGGAAUUCCACCCAGGAAGACACAGCAUUCCUACCCUCCAGAGGAUUUGACCCUCAAGAUGCCAUCUUGGAAGCAGAAAGCAGCCCUCACCAGAUGUCAGCACCUUGAUCUUGGACUUCCC